rnacentral:rRNA from 1 species
CGCGUAGGCGGCUUGUACAGUCAGACGUGAAAUUCCUGGGCUCAACCUGGGGGCUGCGUUUGAUACGUGCGGGCUUGAGUUCGGAAGAGGGUCGUGGAAUUCCCAGUGUAGAGGUGAAAUUCGUAGAUAUUGGGAAGAACACCGGUGGCGAAGGCGGCGACCUGGUCCGAUACUGACGCUGAGGCGCGAAAGCGUGGGGAGAAAC